UACGUAGGGUGCGAGCGUUGUCCGGAAUUAUUGGGCGUAAAGAGCUCGUAGGCGGCUUAGCAAGUCGGGUGUGAAAACUCCAGGCUCAACCUGGAGACGCCACUCGAGACUGCUAUGGCUAGAGUCCGGUAGGGGACCACGGAAUUCCUGGUGUAGCGGUGAAAUGCGCAGAUAUCGGGAAGAACACCCGUGGCGAAGGCGGUUCUCUGGGACGGUACUGACGCUGAGACGCGAAAGCGUGGGGAGCGAACAGG
rnacentral:rRNA from 1 species